AUAUUUUCUGCCUUUAUUAGCUCCCUUAAAAUUGCCCACACUUACCAGUUUAAUAUCUGGUACGCCCUCUAUCCGAGGACAAUAUAUUAAAUGGAUUUUUGGAGCAGGGAGUUGGGAUACGAGAUUGUGCCAUUCACUCCUAGCUCUGGCCUGAUAUUGCAGUACCUCCAGGAAGGGGGAAAAGGUG
ensembl:snRNA U2 U2 spliceosomal RNA